CCUAAUCUAUCCAAAUCAAAAAGUAAAGGGGAGGCAAAAGGUUAACACUUAACAGACAAAGUAGAGAAAGAAAAGGAGGCGCCAGAAAAGGAAGGAACUAGUAGCUGCUGCUGCUGCUGCUGCUGCUGCUGCGAUUACCUCCGCCACCGUCUGCUGCUGCGAUUACCUCCGCCACCGUCUGCUGCUGCGAUUACCUCCUCCACCGUCUCUUUAACCACCAUAAAAAAACUACCUCCACCUUCAUCACCAUCUCUUUCACAAAUAGAACCCAUUUUUUCAUCCAAAACAAACAGAACUCAUUCCAUCAAAUCAACACUAACACCUCCACCAUAGCUAGAACCACCGCCGGACCUCUCCCCCUCUCUCUCUAAGUACGCAUGACGUCUUUAGCUGGAUCAGGAGAGCCACCCUUACCUCCGCCUGGUGGUGGUGGAGAUUUAGGUGGGCAUAGAUCAGACCCACCUAGACGUGGACGAGUACUUCCAUAAAAAACCUGACGGGUCAUGGGAUACAGUAGAAGCGGCACGAGUACAGGUAUGUGUAAGUUUCUUUGUUUACUAUAUUAAAUAGAAAAAAGGAGAAUGUUUAAUUCGCCGAUAUUUCUUGAUUAAUGUUGGUCUAGGUAUGGUUCCAUAAAAUAUUAUUAAGUACUAUUAGGUUGGACUUGCAAAUAUUAUUGCCUUAGUAGUCAGUAUGUGUUUCCUCCUACUGUUUGUCACAUAAAACCUGAUUGUAUGCUUUUGUGUUGUCUAUUCAACAUCUAAACAUAAAUAAGCCUUGUGCUAAAUCAUUUAGUCAAUACACGAGACUGUAAUAGAUAAUGUUGUUGAAUCUCACUAUGCAGUAUCACGCAGGGUUUUUUUGAGUUUUAUCUCGUUCUCUAAACUUAACUUGCAGAAUUAAAAAACCUAUUUUGACCGAACUGUAUUUGGGUCAUUUUAAAAGUGAUUUUUUCUUAUCAUUUUCUGAAUUCAAUCUCUAAUUAGUGAUGUAAAAGUUGAAAUAACAUAACACCAAUAUUAUGAUCUUUUCUACUGUUAAGAGUCUAUUUGAAAGAGAAAUAGAACGAACAUAGCUGAAUCUGAAAAAUGUUUCAUUGAUUGAAAGUUGUGUACACUGAACUGUAUUUAUAGAGCUGUUGUCUGAACCUUACAGCAGAGAUACCAUUUACACAAAUAAAAGCAAAAUACAUUAAUUUAGAGUGUAAUUUGGUGGCUGAGAUACUUAAGAGCAGGCCAACUAAUUCUGGAAAGGAGUAUAACUAUUUGUGAGCUCUAGCAUCUUUCUAUAUUAAGUGAAAAUUCAUGUUAUUAGCAAGGUUUGCAGUGCUGACUGCUGUGAUUUGAAUAUUAGUAUUAGCAAGGUCUGCAGGCUUGUAUAUCUUUCUUUUUUUUUUCCUGCUUAUUUGGGUCAUUUUAAAAGUGAUUUUUUCUUAUCAUUUUCUGAAUUCAAUCUCUAAUUAGUAAUGUAAAAGUUGAAAUAACAUAACACCAAUAUUAUGAUCUUUUCUAUUGUUAAGAGUCUAUUUGAAAGAGAAAUAGAACGAACAUAGCUGAAUCUGAAAAAUGUUUCAUUGAUUGAAAGUUGUGUACACUGAACUGUAUUUAUAGAGCUGUUGUCUGAACCUUACAGCAGAGAUACCAUUUACACAAAUAAAAGCAAAAUACAUUAAUUUAGAGUGUAAUUUGGUGGCUGAGAUACUUAAGAGCAGGCCAACUAUUCUGGAAAGGAGUAUAACUAUUAGUAUUAGCAAGAGGGAGAUGGAUGAAUUCGAGGAAGCUUUUAAUGCUCAACAAAAUGCUCUUCCACCUAGUGAGCGGACUCCUGAGGAGGUUAGAGAUACAAUAAUGCUGGAUCAAUUUGUCGAGGUUGCUGGCGGGGUGCAAAGAAAUCAUCUUAGGGGGCAAGGCAAUGCAUCUUCAUUGGUCAUAAGGACCCCGAUGGGAUAUAGACUUGAUCCUAGCUCCACUUUUAGCUCGAGUAGUUCUUUCGCUCGAUCUAAUGCAGCUGUUGAUUUUGAAGAGAUGGAACGUCGACUCAAAGCUGACAAUGAUGCUCGGGUUCAAGCCGAAGUUGCAUCUCAACUCCAAUCUCAUAUGGACACAAUGAGGUCGCGGCUCCGAGCUGAAGCAAGGGAUGAUAUUGAAUUAAUUGUCCAAAGGAGAUUAUCACAACGAGGUUGCUGCUAUAUUUUUUUGGUGUUGAGGCUUUUCUUAUAUGCUUGUUGUGUGCACUACUUUUUUGUUGUUGCUGGUAUUUUAGUUCCUAUUUUGUUGCCGUGUUGGUGGAACAAAAUUUGGUUCUUAUUCUAUUAGAUAUUAGUUUUAUAUUUUUAUGUAUUUAUCAAAAAACAAAAUUAUAUUUUAUGUGGUAUGAUAUUUAUUUAAAUA